AAUAAUAAGAAAAAAUUUAUUUGAUAUAUUCCCUUCACGUUCUUCUAUAUUUGCCUCGAACUUUAAUUUCUUCACUCUCCCUUUUCAGCCCUUCGCAUAAGUAAUGGAAUUACACAUUCCUAUAGGAAACUUAUAGGCUUGCUCAGUUUAAAGCUAAGCUAAAGAGUUUGCUUUACUUUUUGGGAUUCUGAGCUUCCAAUUGCUGUUUUCUUUUCCAAUGCAAUGGAAAAGGAAGAACAGCCCAAGUUUUCUUCUACCCCUAAUCUUGAACACCAAGCCAAUGGAGUUUCAAGUAAGAAUGAGAAGAGUGUAUCCGAUGGGACAGAUGCAGCAAAAAACGCCAAAUCUGGAUGCCAAUUAUUAGAGAAUGAGUCUCCCCAUAAUCAGCAUUACACUGCGCUUCUUCAAAGCGCUCACUAUCCUGAACAUGCAGAAAAGCCUUCACCGUCAACUGCCCCUUCCGCCGUGAAUGAGCGACAUCAGCUGCCGCAAAGCCCGGCUAAUCUUCAGCAUCAGCUUAGCCAGCCUCCGCAGCCGCAGCAAUUUGUUCUUUCUUCACAACCCUUUUGGAUACAGCCACAGCCGAGUAUUUCCUUUGGAGCAACUGAAGGUAGCUGGCAAUCUCCGGCGGCGUUUGGCGCUGGAGCCUCGCCGAUAUGUCAACCCCAAGCUCCUAAUUUCUAUUACCCAGUUGGAUAUCCGACAUAUCCAGGUUUUCCAGGUUCCAGGGAUGGCUCAAUUUGGUGGGGUCAAACACAACCAAUACUGUUUCCUGGAUUGUCCAAUUAUCCAAGAGCUUCAUGUGGUUUUGUAUCUUCUCAAUCUUGGCCAAUGCCAAUUCCUAGUUGUGCAACAUCUUCCUCUGGACAACCCCUUUUAAGAGGAGUCAUCAAACCACCUGAAAAGCUUUCUCAAAAGCAUAAGAAACUUUGGGAAGCUCAGUCUGCAGAAAAUGUACAAUUGUGGAGUAUGAUAGGAGAGUUGCAAGGGGAAUUAGCAGUCUACAAGGGCCGCUUGAGUAAGCUUGAAGCUGAAAUUUCAUGUUUAAGAUCUUCAGCUACUAAUGAGCCUGCUGUGGAAGUUGGAAAUGGUGACAUUACAUUGAGGGGACAACCAACGAAGCGAGGAAGGUUGAAACGAGGUACAGCCCCAGUUGGUUCACAAUCUCCUUUGCAGCCUCAUACACGAGUAAGAAAGCCAGCAGUUGGGAGAACAAAAGUAGAAGAUGCAAAACAAACUCUUCUUGGAAAAGAUAGCUUGAAUAAGGCGGAUGAUAAUAAACAUAAAUAUUUUACUUCCCUUGACAUUACAAAGCAAGACAAGAAUGAAGACAGUUCAACUACCAUCAAUCAAAACAAUGGGAUCGUGGAGAUUGAUGAUGACACUCUCAAGAUGCCUGCCUCUUUAGACAAUCAAGUUCUUGAACAAUGCUCUGAAAUUCAAUCAUGUGGAAUUGAAUUCAAGCCACCAUCAGUAUUGAAAUCCAAUUAUGAAGGAAUCAUCUCUGAAGACUCCGAACGAAAUGACUUUAGAAUAGCCUCCUCAACAAUCUACACCAAUGGAAAUGUUACCAGACAAGGAAUAUCUGGGUGGAACUUUAAACUCGUGGACGAAGCAGCCGAAUUGGGAUUUCCUCCUCCAGUAGUACACAAAACGGGGAACGAAGAUAUGGCAGAUGAAUUCAGCUCAGGACCUGAAGAGAUUGAAACACAAAAUGGUUCCUCCUGGUGUUGAAAGUAAGCUCUAAAUGAUCAAAUGUUGUUCUACCUCCAAUAUUAGGUAAUACACUAAAAUGAGCCAGAUAGUGGAUAAUUCUGCCCCAAUUGGCAAGCUACUGCCACUUGAUGGAGAUGGUUUGACCAAUAUUUUGUACAAGGGCAGAAUGGAUUCAGCUUGCUUAACAUGAAAUAAUUCUCUCUCUCCAUCUAUUGGUGGGGCGGUGGCGUUCUGAAAUGGGCAGCCGGCGUUGACAAAUCGGAGAGGAAACUGUUAACGGCGGUGACUGAGGGGUCAUCGGAGUCCUCAACUACGUUGACGGAGAAAUAAGGGCCUAAAAGUGGGAGUCGGAAACCGAGUUUUGAAAUGAAAAACGGACGAAUCGGUCAAGAUGUAGACUCUCUUACGCACCGGUCUAAAAGGGGUAUUAAUGACAGUCUACUAAUGGGAAAUUUCUGGUUCUACAUAGGUUUGGAGAAUUAGUUUCUUCUACUUGCCAUAAUAGCAUUAUAUAGAAAUGUUAAAUCCUAAAUAAUUUGAUCUUACUAGUUCGAAGAAAUUUAGAAUUCAUACUCUAGUGGAUCAAAAAUAGUAUAAUCUAUAAUUUAUAAACUCCUAU